rnacentral:snRNA from 1 species
GGCGUGCCUCGGCAUCAG